rnacentral:lncRNA from 1 species
ACCCAGCGAGGGCCGUGCGGGCGCCAGGGAUGCUUGGGGAGCUCUGCUCGGUUUCCAGUCGCGCACCGGGUCUCCGCGCACCACGUGCGCCCAAGGCCUCAGGUGACUGCGUCAGGGCUCCAGCUUAAGGCGGUCUGGUCGGCCCAGCCUUUGAUAUUUAAGCCUGGCCUGCUCCCGGGUGAAACUACCUGUUGGGAGAUUCCGCAGCCUAGACGUUUGGCCCUCCUUCCUGCCCACCCCCCCGCCCCCACCCGGUGCAAUCCUGGCGGCGACGGAAUGGUUCUGGGUUGGCACAAGAAGGGAGAAGACCAAAGAGUCGAGAGUAUCGGACAAAGUCAGCUGCGCCUGGCGUUGCCCAGAGAGUUGCCCCCCCCACUCCGCCCCCGGCUUCCGCUUGCUCUUGGGGACAGGGAGGUGGGCCCCAGAACGCUGUGUGGGGCCCCUGGCCGCAGGGGUGGGCACAAACUCCACACGAUUCUCUAAAUUCGGAAACCACAACGCGUUGCAGUUUGUACUGGCACUUUGGAGCAAGUCUAACUUUAGAAAACAAAAAGCCUCCUAGCUCUUCCUCGCGCCCACCCCCACCUUGCAACGAUAACACCCCUCACUUUUCUCUGCACCGAAAUUCACUUUACUACCUCUUGAAAAUCGGAAAAUUCCGCGGCGGCUUGGACGCGCUGCAACGCAGAGGCUGCUUAAAGCUCUUGUAGGAGUUUCUUGAGGGAAAUCACUCUGUUCUUGAGAGCAAACAGAAUCUCCGUAUUUUUACACAACCUAACUGGAUGAGGGAGCGGAGCUAGGAAGGACAAUUUGAGCCUUUGCAGCCCGUUGGAGGAAAUUUCGGAGACUGGGGAUAGGGGGUGCUUUUCUCUCACAAGAACCUGUGGGAAGGAUAGCUCCGUCUGGCCCUGGGGCUGCAAGUUUCACUUGGGAAGCACACAGCCCGGGUCUGGUGCGCGUUGAAUAACAUUCUUUCCAGCAAACUCUGCAGCAAAUCCCGCCCUGACAUUAAAUUGGGGUAGAUGUGGCGAUGCAGGCUGGGCUGAGCCGUGAAAUUUCCCCCCAGACGGGGAAGGCUCUCCUCGCGUCGUGUCUCCGAUGCGGGUUUCUGCUUUCUUAUAGUGAACCCCGCUUCGUUUUGGGAGCAGUGAAAUUUGGGAGCGGCCCUACGGAGGGGCUCAUUUGGGGUCGAAGGGGACGGAUAGACUUUCUCUGUCGCUAGGGGUACAGCGGCGUUUUAUUUCUUCCCGCGCGCUCUCUCAUCCCCGGUAGUCACAAAGCACUCGGCUGAAAACGAAAUGGGGACAAAUAUCAGGCAACUGCAGGGAAGGAGGGGGGUAAUCCUCAUCUUGUUCAGGAUACUCAUUUUGACAGUGAAGACUGAGGGGCUACACGGAAGAAGGAGAAUUUAUUCAUCAGAAUUUGUUGCACAGGGAUGAAAGUUGAGACUUCGAGCCUAUAAGAAAGCUCAGAACGUUUCCCGCGACGCAGUCUCUUUUUAUGAUCCUGGCAAUAUUAGCCUGUUCGGCCCUUAAGUCACACCCCUAGUCCCAGACUUUAGUGGCAUUUCCCUUCCCCGUGUGCCUCCUUCCCGUGCCCACUUAACUCGGCUUCGCGUUGCCCGGGACCUCAGGACGACUUGCGAAGAGCUCUUGCAAACUUGCCCUUCCCCGGCCGCACACGCAUCAGUGGGCUCUCCCUGCACAGCCCUCUCGGAUGCCCCGGGGACCCCUCGGGGGCCUGGGAAACCCGGAGUAUUUUCCUGCGCUCCAACUCGGCACUCCUGUUCUAUUUCAGUUCAGUCCCAGGGGCACGGACCCAAGGAUAAUAAACAAUACUGCUUAUUAGAGAUACAAAGGGGCGCAGAAAAGAUCCACGCGGAAAAGCAAGCGCAGAGAGCAUUUUAACAAGUGCCCAGACGUUCUGAAUUGCCUUUGAAAGCGACUUGUAAUGUACAACAGAAGGUGUUUCUCUAAAAACACUAAAGUUCUCAGAAUACAGGUUUGUCAAAGUAU